GAAGCAAAACAGCGAUGUGGAGCAAACCCCUAAAAACGUUCUCAGUUCAGAUUGCAGGCUGCAACCCGCCUGCAUGAAGUCGGAAUUGUUAGUAAUCGCGGAUCAGCAUGCCGCGGUGAAUACGUUCCCGGGCCUUGUACACACCGCCCGUCACACCAUGGGAGUUGGUAACGCCCGAAGUCAGUGACCUAACCGCAAGGGAGGAGCUGCCGAAGGUGGGGCCAGUAACUGGGGUGAAGUCGUAACAAGGUACC
rnacentral:rRNA from 1 species